rnacentral:rRNA from 1 species
AUUGAACGCUGGCGGCAGGCCUAACACAUGCAAGUCGAGCGAGCGGCGGACGGGUGAGUAAUGUCUGGGAAACUGCCUGAUGAAGGGGGAUAACUGAUGGAAACGGUAGCUAAUACCGCAUACCAUCAGAUGUGCCCAGAUGUGAUUAGCUAGUAGGUGGGGUAACGGCUCACCUAGGCGCCGAUCCCUAGCUGGGCUGAGAGGAUGAGCAGCUACACUGGAACUGAGACACGGGCCAGACUACUACGGGAGGCAGCAGUGGGGAAUAUUGCACAAUGGGCGCAAGCCUGAUGCAGCCAUGCCGCGUGUGUGAAGAAGGCCGUCGGGUUGUAAAGCACUUUAAGCGGGGAGGCGUUACCCGCAGAAGAAGCACCGGCUAACUCCGUGCCAGCAGCCGCGGUAAUUC